rnacentral:rRNA from 1 species
UACGUAGGGUGCAAGCGUUAAUCGGAAUUACUGGGCGUAAAGCGUGCGCAGGCGGUGAUGUAAGACAGAUGUGAAAUCCCCGGGCUUAACCUGGGAACUGCAUUUGUGACUGCACGGCUAGAGUGUGUCAGAGGGGGUAGAAUUCCACGUGUAGCAGUGAAAUGCGUAGAUAUGUGGAGGAAUACCGAUGGCGAAGGCAGCCCCCUGGGAUAACACUGACGCUCAUGCACGAAAGCGUGGGGAGCAAACAGG